CCUACGGGAGGCAGCAGUCGAGAAUCAUUCACAAUGGGGGAAACCCUGAUGGUGCGACGCCGCGUGGGGGAAUGAAGGUCUUCGGAUUGUAAACCCCUGUCAUGUGGGAGCAAAUUAAAAAGAUAGUACCACAAGAGGAAGAGACGGCUAACUCUGUGCCAGCAGCCGCGGUAAUACAGUGGUCUCAAGCGUUGUUCGGAAUCACUGGGCGUAAAGGGUGCGUAGGCGGUUUCGUAAGUCGUGUGUGAAAGGCGCGGGCUCAACCCGCGGACGGCACAUGAUACUGGGAGACUAGAGUAAUGGAGGGGGAACCGGAAUUCUCGGUGUAGCAGUGAAAUGCGUAGAUAUCGAGAGGAACACUCGUGGCGAAGGCGGGUUCCUGGACAUUAACUGACGCUGAGGCACGAAGGCCAGGGGAGCGAAAGGGAUUAGAUACCCGAGUAGUC
rnacentral:rRNA from 1 species